AGUGGAUCUUCCCAUUAUCACACUCGCACUGUGGCGUGCAGGGGCCUGGGGACCAGCGCUCAAGGUGCGCAUGCUCCAUACCGUCGUAGUAACAACCUAACGCCGUCAGCAUUAUUAUCGUCAGUCGUCGCUAAGUUGCACGUGCACUUCGUUCACUGAGCGUAUUCUGUCGUGGUUUUGUUGGGUGUGGCCAGUAUUAUAUCCCAAAGCAGUCUUCUGCCUACAUGUCUAUGCAAUCAAGCGUGUACUUACGUCUGCAGUACUUGCACUUUUUGGGGCAGUUGAUCUUGAGCCAAUCCUCAUUGCACUGAACUUGUGAGUACUGUGUGCACUCAUCGUGAUCGAAACAGGUUCUCGCUGAGAACAGAGAUACACACGUUAGUAUAGGUCGUUAGAUACACGUUAGUCCAGGUCGUUAGAUACACGUUAGUCUAUGUCGUUAGAUACACGUUAGUCUAGGUCGUUAGACACACGUUAGUCUAGGUCCUUAAAAACACGUUAGUCUAGAUCAUUAGAUACACGUUAGUCUAGGUCGUUAGAUACACGUUAGUCUAGGUCGUUAGACACACGUUAGUCUAGGUCGUAAGACACACGUUAGUCUAGGUCGUUAGAUACACUUUGGUCUAGGUCGUUAGAUACACGUUAGUCUAGGUCGUUAGAUACACGUUAGUUUAGGUCGUUAGACAGACGUUAGUCUAGGUCGUUAAAAACACGUUAGUCUAGGUCAUUUGAUACACGUUAGUCUAGGUCGUUAGAUACACUUUAGUCUAGGUCGUUAGAUACACGUUAGUCUAGGUCGAAAUGAUUUCUUCGAAUGGAGAUCAAUGCUAUAGCACUCUUCGUACUUAUGCACCGUACUUUAUGCGUUCCACAACGUCGAGAGACCCAAUAAAUAUGUAUUUGAUUGUCUUCUACGUUACAUUGACAUGUAAGUACAUAUAUGAUGCACAUGGAAACUGGCCAACGGUAUUAAUAAAACAGGGAUAAACUUUUUUGUCGUCUCGUCCGCUUGCAAACUUCUACUUACAUUCUGGGAUGUCAGUGCUGUUUGCUGCCGCACCGGAGUUGGUGUUGGUGUAUCCUGCAAUGCUUCCUGGGAGCUGAACCAAUAUCUUCUCCAUGAUUGGUCCAUUCUGUCCUCUCGCGAUCUCGGCAAUGCCGCCUUCCGUGGCUAUCUUCACUACUACGGGCUCACGGGAAGUCUCAAGUGAUGACGUCAGCUCCGUUGGCACGGUAACGCUGAGUUGUUUAGGGUUGCUUCGGUUUGCUUGAUCUACAAGAAGAGCCAUCAUGAUCCACAAUACAGGCACACAACGAGGAGGUCAGGAUCUGGCUUGAAAGUGUAAGUUUGGAUUGUUUCUCGAACCUCGGAAUAUUAUAAAAUAAUUUUGCUUAACACUAUCAUCCAGGUUGCAACCAUGUCCAUUUAUAACAAUUGAUCGUAUUGAAGUAGAAAAUACGGGUUACCUAUAUUUCAUGUAUCCCUACAUUUUGUUUAUAUACAAGCGUUCUACGGCUCAUUAAAGAUAGUUUGGUUGACAUCUUUGCUUGUAAUUUGGCCGUCUCUUCUUUUCUUCUUUUCUUACAUACUGAGUGAACUGAAUUUUACUUACCGUUUCCGCACAGUCCGCAUUUGGCCGGACAGUUGGACUGCAUCCAGUCCUGAGCACAAGAGGUUGCUGGGUAAUGACUGCAUCCAGCGUGGUCCUCACACCAAGGCGGCCUGUAAUCUAAGAGUUUAAUUCAAGAAUGUACUUUUAAGUCCUCCAGAAAACCUCUCAUUUUACGCUUGAAUUAUCAACAUACAGUAUAAGUUUGAAGAUUUUUUAACACACGAUAUUAACUUGAGAAAAUGGCUUCUCGUGUGUGCUAUAUCCAUAAUCUAUCAACACGGAAAGGUCUUCUAAAUAUUGAUACCUUCUGUCGGAAUGGCUGGACUCCAGUUUCCAUCAUUUCCAGCUAAAACACAAA